rnacentral:rRNA from 1 species
UACGUAGGGUGCGAGCGUUGUCCGGAAUUAUUGGGCGUAAAGAGCUCGUAGGCGGCCUGUUGCGUCCGCUGUGAAAGCCCGGGGCUUAACCCCGGGUCGGCAGUGGAUACGGGCAGGCUAGAGGUAGGUAGGGGAGAAUGGAAUUCCCGAUGUAGCGGUGAAAUGCGCAGAUAUCGGGAGGAACACCGGUGGCGAAGGCGGUUCUCUGGGCCUUACCUGACGCUGAGGAGCGAAAGCGUGGGGAGCGAACAGG